AAAUCCCGUAGCUUUUCAUUUCCAUAAAUCCAAAACAAAGUUUCAGACCCUUCAUUUUCGUCUUCUAGCGGAGGUUUUUGUACCUCCUUCGCAGCUCACCUCCCUGCUCCUUCUUCGUUGUCCUUCCAUCUCCAUCGCCCAUCAUCGAUUAUCCUCAACAAUCUUCAUCCAUCAUCACGGUCCAUCAUCCUUCAUUACCAUCGAUCAACAUCAUCAGCAAUCCCCCCCGUUCAUCAGCGUUCAUCAUUGAGUGUCAUUCAUCAUCCAAUUCAAUCUAAGGGGUCCAAUUCGCUGCUAACCGUCAAUCAAUCAUAGUCAUCCAUUUUCAUUAAUUCCGUACAUCAAUCCGCGCUCAAUUAUUCGACAGAACACAAUGGAGGUUCGGCCGGAUUUAUUUUUGGUUUGGGCGAAUUCCAUUCAGGUUCGACCGAGCCUCAUACUUGCAGGAACUUUUCUACAUUUCGGGUUCGGCCGAACCAAAGUUCGGGUUCGAACGAACCAAUUACUCUGUUUUAUCCUCUAUUCUUGCACUGGAGGAAAAAUCGUCAUGUGCUUUCCUUCAAGUGCGGCUCAUUUAGUAAAUUGGCAGCACUUGAGAGCAUGAAAAUAAAAGAAAACAAAUUCAUUUUCACAAGUGCAGGCUCAUUUUAAAAAAUUGGUAGCACUUAAACUCAAGUGCGGGCUUUAAACUCAAGUGCGGGCUCAUUUUACAAAAGCUGCACAUAAGAUUUCUAAAAUAUUGCAAAAAAAAGAAUAAUGUUUCUAAAAUCAGAGAAGCCUUCGUUUUCUCUCUCCCCGAUUCUUCUCCCUCUUCCUCUUCAGCUUUGUUUUCUCUCUCCUCUGUCGUCGCCUUUGCUUCUUCAUCGCCGGAGAUCGAUCUCCCUCACCGCCAUUGAUCUCUACCCUCUUCCAGAUCAGACUAAUUCAGGCUGAACAUUCUUGCCUACCACAAAUGACGAAAGCCUGACAGUGAGAACAUUUGCCAACUUGACUGCAGACUUGACAUGAUGGAAAGCUUUAUCUAAGUUCCAGGAGAUCUCCACUUAUUUAUUAACAGAGAAGUAUAAUCUCUAGCUUAAUGAGGGCAAAGUUUUUUGAGCAGUCUGGUGGCUAACCGACGUUGACUUCUUUAUAUGGAAGAUGACAGAAUCUGCAUUCUUCAGCACUGUAUUCAUCAAUUCAAGGGAGCAACCGUUCACCACCGAGGAGAUAAAUUAAGUUCGAGACAAGUUGACAAACUUUAUUACCAGUUAUUGUCUUUGAUAUUUUGAACUACUUUUUAUUGUAAAGAAUCUUAGAUUAUGGAUGCUUGUUUUUCAAUUGAUAGUAAUAUAAUCGACUUUCAGAUUUAUAAUUAUAUACUAUUUAAUUUAAUUAUCUAUGUAAUUAGUUAUUAUUAGUGA